GCAAGUCGAGGGGUAACAUAGAAGAGCUUGCUUUUCUGAUGACGACCGGCGCACGGGUGCGUAACGUGUAUGGAACCUACCUCUUACUGGGGAAUAGCCCGUAGAAAUUCGGAUUAACACCCCAUAGUAUUAUUUAAUCGCAUGAUUUGAAUAAUUAAAGUUUACGGUAAGAGAUGGCCAUGCGUCCCAUUAGCUAGAUGGUAAGGUAACGGCUUACCAUGGCAACGAUGGGUAGGGGGCCUGAGAGGGUGAUC
rnacentral:rRNA from 1 species